rnacentral:lncRNA from 1 species
GACUUUCUACUUACUCAGCUAAAACUCAGGAUUUUGUUGAAGAAAGGGAAAAUCGUAUUGUCAGACUCAAAAAUGUUGCCGUCUUAAUUCCACAUUUAAUGUGGUUUUGAUGUAAGACUUUGGUGGCUCUCCAUUAUACACAGAAUACAGCUCAAGAACCUUAGCAGGACACAGGAGACUUUCCUGAUGUGGCUACAGUGAGUGUGAUUGAACCCCAGUGUUCCAGGGCCAGUCUCUCCAUUCCUCACCUUCCUGAUUUUGUCAGAACGAAUAGCUCCCUGGUGGGCAAGGAAGAGGAGAGUACGACUGAAGAAUGAGUGUUGGUGGUCCAAAGAAGACAGGACUUUAACAAAUUUCCGACAGAGUCUUCUUCAUGGAACAAUCCCGGGUAGGGAAAAUAUGUUGUCAUUUCUGCCGCUCAUAUUCUACAUCUGAACAAUACAACUGAAUUACAGGCACAGGAUUAUUGACUGGCAGAUGCUGCCUUUCUCAAACGCUCCAUGAACAGCAAAGAAAAAUCCUCCUAAAAUGCAGCAGGGUGUUAGUAUCCUCUUCCAUCGUGAGAGAAACUUUUGUUC